GGCGACAUAGCUCAGUUGGGAGAGCGCACGACUGAAGUUCAUCUUCUGGAUUCUAUUCGUGCGGUCCCUGGUUCGAUCCCGGGUGGCGCCA